rnacentral:rRNA from 1 species
GGACUACUAGGGUUUCUAAUCCUGUUUGCUCCCCACGCUUUCGUAGUUGAGUGUCAGUGCCUGUCCAGGUCGCCGCUUUCGCCUCUGGUGUUCCUCCCGAUCUCUACGCAUUUCACCGCUACACCGGGAAUUCCACGACCCUCUCCAGGACUCCAGUCUCCCCGUUUCUGGGGCACUUCUUGAGUUAAGCCCAAGGCUUUCACCCCAGACAAAGGAGACCACCUACCUACCCUUUACGCCCAAUAAUUCCGAGCAACGCUUGCACCCCUCGUAUUACCGCGGCGGCUGGCAC